CAGUCUCCAGCACUGCAGACAGAUACUUUCCUGCUGAGCCACCAGGGAAGCCCUAUUACUUGGGGUGGUGUUAGCCAAAGACAAGUUGACUGACCAAGAGCUUGCUUUGACUUUGCUGUUAGAUAGGUCCACGUGGAGACUCAGGGGGUGCAAGUGUGCUACAAAAGCUUGGAGGCAGCAUUCCUGGCAAGUGUAUGCUCCCCUACCUACCCCCUCCACCUCCUGGGUUACUAACUGGUUACCUGGCAACCAGCUUUCUUCAACUUCAUCUGCAGAGCCACCAGGCUCAGCCUCCCCUCCCCCAGCCCUUGAGUCUCCCAUGAAUCACUGGGGACCUGGGGGAUGGGAUACAUAAUCAGAUUUUAAUUGUCACAUUGUCUCUGAUCUUUUUUUCUGUGUGCAUAUCUUCUAGGCAGAGAUGUAAUUUCAAUUAAUUUUGCUUAUCUGAUAAAAGUUUCAUAUCCUUUAGGCUAAUUUCAUUUGAACUAAUCAGCACCAUGUUCAUCUUUGAGUUCCAGCCUGGAUGUCUUACCUUAUCUGGAGCAGAGAUCGCCUCCCUCUGUCACAUCAAAGCGUGUCUGGGCUGUGCAAGUAGACCAAGCUGUGAGACGUGGGCUCUCAGCCCGCACUGAGAAAAAGAAAAGAAAUGGAGCUGCUGUUAAGAAUUCAUGUGAGGAAGUCGUCAUGAACUUGGAGCUUUUUAAAACCACCAACUGGUUCCCCUCCCUCAAGAAGCAGGUGCCCAUGUGUGGGAGGUGGUGGGAGCCAGGCUCAAUCUCCCAGCGGGCCUGAUCUCAACAUGGAAGAACAGCAUCUCCCGGCUGCUGGAGACUAAUUGCAUGUGGGAUGGAAUAGGACCAAGUUAGUUUUAAUGAAAAACCUGAAUUUAUUGCCCCCAUUGAGAUUUCAUUAAAUUGGUUACAAACUGCUGUU